rnacentral:rRNA from 1 species
AACAAACGCUGGCGGCGUGCCUAAUACAUGCAAGUCGAACGGGGAAAGCUUUCGGGUGAGUACUAGUGGCGCACGGGUGAGGAACGCGUGGAUAAUCUGCCUUAGAGUGGGGGAUAACUAGUCGAAAGAUUAGCUAAUACCGCAUAAGACCACAGGAGCUGCGGCUCAAGGGGUCAAAGGUUUUUCGCUCUAAGAUGAGUCCGCGUAAGAUUAGCUAGUUGGGGAGGUAACGGCUCACCAAGGCGACGAUCUUUAACUGGUCGUAGAGGAUGAUCAGUCAAACUGGAACUGAGAGACGGUCCAGACUCCUACGGGAGGCAGCAGUAGGGAAUAUUGCACAAUGGAGGAAACUCUGAUGCAGCGACGCCGCGUGAGUGAUGAAGGCCUUCGGGUCGUAAAGCUCUGUCGCAGGGGAAUAACACAAUGAAGGUACCCUGUAAGAAAGGAUCGGCUAACUUCGUGCCAGCCGCCGCAGUAACAC